rnacentral:rRNA from 1 species
AUGCCUCGGAGCAGGAGCCAUCGCAAACUAAGCUCGCCUUGCUCCCCGAAGGCCGUCCACAAGGUCAUCUCCCGCUUCUCCCUCGAGAAGAAGCAGCUCGUGCGGUCAAUCGAUUUCGGGGGCUUGCUGGAGCUGCCACUGCACAGGAAGGUUGGCCACAGGUUCUCCCUGUGGCUCCUGACCAAGGUAGUACGAGAUGCCGCCGGUGCCAGUGCUAGCCAGCCUGCAGCAGUCGGCAAAGUAGCCGGCAUACCGUUCUACCCACAGGACGUCAGCAAAGUGUUCGGCGUGCCUUCCGGAGGACGUCCGGUGCCCAAGAAGGAUCAGGUUCAGGGGCUGGUCUCCGACGAGGCCAAGGCGACCGUGCGCGGCGCGCUCAGCUUGGAGGAAGGAGACGACAGCAGACUCAGAAUCCUGCAUGCUGCAAAGCAUGUGCUGAAGAAGAAAUUCCGUCGGGGAAUGGCGGAGAAGGACCGGGCUGCAUUCAAGAUCGCGUUCGUGGUCUUCGUUGUGGGGAAUCUGCUGGCUCCAAGGGCGACCGACUCUGUAUCCUUGGACUACUUCAUGGCCCUGCGGCGUCCUGACGAGAUUCAGACGUAUGACUGGUCCGAGUACGUGAUUCGUGUCAUUUUGGACUCUGUCUGCCAAGUUCAGGCCGCUUUCGCUCAGGGGCGGCCUGUGGAGAAUCUGUUUGGAUGCAUUAUUGGCCCUGUUUGGAUCCUCUAA